CCCGCCGCGGUAAUACGUAGGGUGCGAGCGUUAAUCGGAUUUACUGGGCGUAAAGCGUGCGCAGGCGGCCCGUUAAGACAGGUGUGAAAUCCCUGGGCUCAACCUAGGAAUUGCGCUUGUGACUGGCGGGCUCGAGUACGGUAGAGGGGGGUGGAAUUCCUGGUGUAGCAGUGAAAUGCGUAGAGAUCAGGAGGAACACCGAUGGCGAAGGCAGCCCCCUGGGCCUGUACUGACGCUCAUGCACGAAAGCGUGGGGAGCAAACAGGAUUAGAUACCCUGGUAGUCCACGCCCUAAACGAUGGGUACUAGCCGUUUGGUGCGCGAUAGCGCUGAGUGGCGAAGCUAACGCGUGAAGUACCCCGCCUGGGGAGUACGGCCGCAAGGUUGAAACUUAAAGGAAUUGGCGGG
rnacentral:rRNA from 1 species